rnacentral:lncRNA from 1 species
CCGUGGCUGAGGGGGGCAUUGCUAUUGGAGGCAUCGUGGGCAUUAAUACUGCUUUACAAGAGGUGCUGACCACUCUCAUCCAUAAUGGCCUAGCAUAUGUAAUUCUGAAAGCUGUCUGUCUUAGACAAGUGCCACGUCCACCUCUGUGUGCUUGCAUCCCACCGUGAUGGCCUGUGGAUUUCAAGCUGGUGGAGGCCCUCCGUGCUGAACACCAAAUCCACCCAAAUAAGCUGAUGACAUCAAGAAACUGAGACUGGGUAGGCCUUGGUGAAAUUGACAGAGAGGGAAAGCCCAGUAAUGUGGUUGGUUGCAGUUCUGGUGUAGUUAAGGGCUAUGGCAAAUAAUCUAAGGCCAAGAAUGUCAUCAAAGAGUACUGUACUUCCAA